CGUGCACCCCACACCCAGCUUCUUUCUCCACCUCGGUCCCCUCCCGUUGAGCUCAGGGAGCAGCUGACUCACCGGCCGGCCCCGCCCUGAACCUGGGGAGGGGACCGGAGAGGGAGGGACGGAGGCCCAGAGUAAGGGAGGACACGGAAGCAGACACUGAGGUUGCGAUCUGUGGAUUGGCGAAAGGCACCAACUGGGAGACCCGGAGGCCUGAUUCGACGGAAACAGGAAGCCGAGCCCAGGCUUCACGGCAGGGGGCGGUCCUCUGGAAGCCUGUCAACGCUUAGGCUUCCCCGUCCCGGGCCCCUUCCCCUCCUCCGGCUGGUAAAGGUUGCCUUGGAGACGGGAGGGGGGUUAUCCCGGCACCAGGAUAACACUGGGGCUCAUCCUGGCAUGGGUGGGGUGUCGUGAGAAGAAAGCAAAGGUCAGACAGAUCGGAACACUAAGUAAACAAGGAGGCAGAGGAAAAGUAAAUUUUCCCCUUGGAGGCUUGAUUUUGGAGUUGCUAUCUAACGUUACAACCUAUUUUUGUUGUUGUUGUUUAAUCUAAAAUAUGUCUGCCAGUAUUCCAGCCUGCACGUUCUACUGUCCGACCAUGCGCUUCCUUUUCUACUGUCCAAAAAAGAACUCCAUUUGGAGAAAAACACGCUGGACUUAGAAAGACCUAGAAACAAAACUGGGCUGGAAACUGAGACUUCGAGGUGCAUGUGUUGCUGGAAACUAGCAGUUAGUGGUUUCCUCUUAGCUUCCUCUUCCAGGAGCUUUCUCCUGGGGAAUGGGGGCGGGGAUCUCCUCCUCAGAAAGGCAGAAUAUUCUUGGUAUUUGGACCUUUGGACAUCCCUAAAGUGUGUGUUCCCAAUCAUGUCGACCCUCAAAAUCCGCACAGGGGCCCUUCCCUACUGACGAACAAGGUGAUUUCAAGGAUGCCCGAUUUCCCAGACUCUUCCGUUUUCCCCACGGGUAGGUAGGUGACCACCACAGACCUGCACAACCUUGAUCUCACGGGGAGAAGCUUUAGUUGGUCUCCAAUAGGCUUGACAGCCUCGCCCCUGCUAGUCUUUGGAGCCUCGGCUGCCCCAUCAUCAAUAUUGUCUGGGGCUGCCUGGAUGGCCACCCUCCAGGGAUCCUGCCUUCCUUUUCAGGCCACGCGCUCCUGGGACCACGGGGGGUUGGGGGUGCCUCCUGGAUUUGAAGCCAGGACUGCUUCAGAAAACUGUGUUGCUCCCAUCUCAUCUGCCUGGCCCUGCUUUUCCACGGCUCCCUCUUCUCAGCUGGGGUCUCCUCCUGUGCCCCAUGCCUUCCGUGUCCUGGUAACCAGUCCCUAAUCUCCUCCCCGCCCAGAUUGGAAGGUGGGUCCCUCCCUGCCACGCCUCAGAGCUGUCGCCAGCCUCCUCCAGGUUUCCAUAGCUCCAUUGCUCAACAAUCUGCCAAGGGUAACCAUUAACCCAGCCCUUAGCUCUGCUCCCCACCUUCCGCUGUGGAGAGGAUUUUCCAGUCACUGAGCAGCCCGGUCACCUCACACCGUCUCCCUGGGCCCUAGACAGGACCUUCUUAUUUCAGCAUAGCUCGUACAGUUUGUUUGUUUGUUUUUUCGAGACAGGGUUUCUCUGUAUUGUCUUGGAGGCUGUCCUGGAACUCUCUCUACAGACCAGGCUGACCUCGAACUCACAGAGAUCCUCCUGCCUCUGCCUCCCGAGUGCUGGGAUUAAAGGCAUGCACCACCACCGCGCUGGGACAGUUUUUAAAUCAUGUAUUUAUAGUGGUGUGCGUGUGUGUGUGUGUGUGUGUAAGGGCACAAACACCGCAGGUGUGGAGGUCGGAGGUCAAUUUGAGAGUUAGUUUUUUUUUCCUGCCGUGUGAGUCCCUGGGGAUGGAAUUUAAGGCGACGAGGCAGCCCUAAAGGGUUAAUUAUUUAUUGUAAGCUGCAUUUCUUUUCUUUCCCACCCAGCUCUACCAUCGAUGAAUUAUGAUACCCAGUGUCCUUAGGGGUGAGCGGGCUGUGGUGCGGACACAAACCGGCAGGGGUGAACGCGUGUGAUCUCACUCUGUCUGCUUUUCAGAACGCAGAGUCACUCACUCGGAUCCUGCGCUUCCUCUCCAGAGGUCCCGAAGUAAUCGGGGUCCCGUCGCAGCGCACUUGUGGGCGUUGGGUGGCCCCCUGCGUUCAGGGAACCGGCGGGGUGUGGCGGGGCGGGCGGAGAAGCAGGGUUGAAACGAGAGGCGGCUCUCACUUCCGUUAUUUGUCUUAAGACACUGUUAGCCAGACGCUGCUCUGAGUCCUUUAUAAAUACUAUUACCUCGGCGGGUGCAAAUA